AGGGCCCCUUUUGCGUCCUGCCUGUACAUUCCGAAGUUCUGUGAAAAGAGGCACUAGCGCUCAGCCACGCAAGGCAGGAAAACAGAGGAAGUUUUCGCAUUCUGACUGCAGCCUGAGUUCCCCGGAGCAAGGCUGCUUCUCUCCACCCACUCCUCACCAAGAACUCCUGAACUUGAGAGUGGACGACUUCAAAGCUAGCUCCCACAGACUCACCUGGAAAAGAGUUCAGCUGCGCGUUCAUUGAACCGAGAGGCCAGAUCACCUAUGUGAGGCGGUGGGAACCAUAUGGAGAUUUAUAUUAGAACUUCAGCAAAGUGCACAGCUGCAGCCGGCAGAAGCCAGCUCUCGGGCUGACAGGCAAAUGAACCAGAUCGUGGACGGGGCCUCUGGGUGGCAGCUCCGGCCUUUUGGUUGUUGGACAACUAUAGUCAGAACUGAAAUGGAACAGGGGCAGGAGAAAUAACACACUUUUACUCCACGCAACUGUUGCUUUCACAUGAUCUUCAGGAAUGUAACUGGGAUAAUUGUCCAAAUUGAAUCCCAUACCCUGUCAUGCAUACCAGAAUAGGAGUCCUGUCUUAACUGAGCAAUAUACACUAUGGAGAGAUCCUUCAAAACCCGUCGGGACGAAUAACAGAUGAAUUCAUAAAACUGUUCAUCUCUGUUAUCCUGAAUGGUCACUCAGACAACAUUUUACUCAACUAUAAAGGGGAACACUUAAAGUGCAUAUGAGAAGAGAAGAGAAUGACCACAGGAGAAAAUCAUCUCAGCUUUCUCCACCCAGGGCAAAGGCAACAACAACAAACGUCCUAUACUCAAGCCGACUGACCUCAUCUCGUUCCACCCCACCUCAUCCAAUCAGAAAUCUCACACGCUCCAGGCAAGAGCUCAAGUCAGUCACCGAUAGGCUGACAGAUCCGGAUCACGAGCAAUACGCAUGCUUUUUUACUGCGCAUGCUCAGGCAAGGCAGUAAACAUGCCACGAUUUCCUAACCAGAAUCUGUAAGAGAGAUUCCAAGAACUUGGUAAGAGAUAGGAACACAGUGGGGCCUAAACAGAGGACAGUUUCUGUAAUCACUUGUAAUAUCUAUAAUGUUAUACUAGAUGAAUGGAAAUAUGAGCAUUGUUGAAAGGUGUAAUGUUUCAAAGUUUUACAAAUGAAUUUUAUAUUAAAAUAUAAGCUAUAUUG
ensembl:processed_transcript